AUACGUAGGGUGCGAGCGUUGUCCGGAAUUACUGGGCGUAAAGAGCUCGUAGGUGGUUUGUCGCGUCGUCUGUGAAAUUCCGGGGCUUAACUCCGGGCGUGCAGGCGAUACGGGCAUAACUUGAGUACUGUAGGGGAGACUGGAAUUCCUGGUGUAGCGGUGAAAUGCGCAGAUAUCAGGAGGAACACCGGUGGCGAAGGCGGGUCUCUGGGCAGUAACUGACGCUGAGGAGCGAAAGCAUGGGUAGCGAACAGGAUUAGAUACCCUGGUAGUCCAUGCCGUAAACGGUGGGCGCUAGGUGUAGGGGUCUUCCACGACUUCUGUGCCGUAGCUAACGCAUUAAGCGCCCCGCCUGGGGAGUACGGCCGCAAGGCUAAAACUCAAAUGAAUUGACG
rnacentral:rRNA from 1 species